rnacentral:sRNA from 1 species
GCCAGGCGUGGUGGCGAGCGCCUGUAAUCCCAGCUACUCAGGAGGCUGAGGCAGAAGAAUCACUGGAACCCAGGCAGCAGAGGUUGCAGUGGGCCAAGAUUGCACCACUGCACUCCAGCCUGGGUGACACAGUGAGACUGUGUCUCAA